rnacentral:lncRNA from 1 species
UGCUGGCAGAGAGCUUUCUUCUUUCAUUUAUUAAACUUUUGCUCUAACCUCACCUUUGUGUCUCCACUCCCUAAUUUUCUUGGAGGUAGGACAAAGAACUCUGGGCGUCAUCUCAGACAAGAGACCGUUACAUCUUGGUGCAUUGCUGAGACCACAACAUUAGGGCUUGAAUGAUCUUUGGCAACAAUAAACAACAUAUUUUGUCUUCAUGAAGAUUCUUGGAAAGGACUCACAAACACAGGUUUCUGAUAACUUUAAGAUUACACCAUUGGACCGGGUAAGAAUUCUCAGAACUGUAAUGACGAAACUAAUUAGUU